AGGUGAACUGACUCACUUCUGUUUAAACAAGGAUACACGUGGACACGUACAAGGAUACCCAAAAGUGCAAGACAUGACGGAUCAGUAAGGUGGCAGAUGUGAGGACAGGGCAUGCGUUUGCUGAGAUCUCGACUGAAACUCAAGAGGAAGCGUAUGACUAAAUGUCUUUUGCUCUUUUAGUAAGACGUUUUCAGCAGACAUCCUCCUUUUAUUUCCAUCAUACAUCAUUGCUGUGUAACUACAGAGAAGUCACAAAUUUAAAUAUAACAAACACCUGGCACCUAAUCUAAUCUUAUUAACAGAUUUAGUUGUUUUAGUUUUUUUUCUAUUACACCACAGUGGAUUUGAUAGGGUCUGUGGCACCAUGUUUUUUCAAACACUAAUAUUCUGUAUUCCUGUCACUGAUGUUUAUUAUUAAGGCUCCAAACACAGAAGGUGCUGGAACCAUAUUGUAAUUGUCAUGAUCUUCUUCUUCUUCUGCCAUAAAAGGAAUUGUGCAGUCCAAGUCGUAGAGACAUGAAGCUUAGUCAACAGGUAGAGCUCCCUCCCGCUACUCAGCCAAUACAGGGUUUUACGUUUUGGUUCAUAUCUCAUGAACCGUGAGUCCUACAAACAACAUUCUUCUUUACCCUGAUUCCUUGGGUUCCCCCAAACAACAAAUCCUCAAGAACCAUUUCCUCAAGCUCCACCCACUUAGGUUUUUAGCUAAUUUGCAUAAUAUGCAAAAUCUACUUUUGCAAACAUCAAAAACAUAGCCAGAUUCAGAUUGCAGUAAUCCUCACGAUACUUGAUAAGUAUCUUCAUCUCUCUUCUUUUUAUUGUUCUGUGUACCUGGGCAAGAACUGGCCACGGGGGAGUUAUUUGCGAGGAGUGCUUGGACCCCGCAGAUUGCCAAUUUCAGCUGUAUUCACUUAUUAUUAUUAUUAUUAUUAUUAUUAUUAUUUUAAUAUUAUGCUUGUUUUUGGCUGUACUAUAUUUGUAAAUUUUCAGCCCCACAAAAAAAUAGGCCUUUGUUCUAACAUUACCAUCUGCACUAGUAACAUUACUAGGUAAGUAAUAUAAGUAAAAUAAGUAACAUUACUUAUAUUUAUAUAUAAGUAUUAUAUAUAUAUUAGUAUUAUUGUAGCCAUAGAAUGAACCUGAUAUGAACAGUAAGAGGAUCAUUGCUGUAAGUUAUGUUUUUUUUUAGCUACCAGUUCACCAGCUCCACAGGAAUACAGAGAGGAACAACAACACACAGUGACAUCGCAAGUAACUUCUCGUGCAAAGCCACCAGAGGAAUGCUGUGUCGAGUCCAGUUAUUAUGUAACUUUGGAUGGUUUAAAAGCGUAUAAAGAAACGAAAGCUAAAUGCCGAAACCGUGGAGGCAGGGUCGACACUGAAGCUGGUUUUGUUGCAUGUGAAGAUCGUCAUGCUGCAUGGAUGCGGUGGAUAAUGGAAAGGAAUACGUGGUGUGAGAA